rnacentral:rRNA from 1 species
UACGUAGGGUGCGAGCGUUGUCCGGAAUUAUUGGGCGUAAAGGGCUCGUAGGCGGUUUGUCACGUCGGGAGUGAAAACUCGGGGCUUAACCCCGAGCCUGCUUCCGAUACGGGCAGACUAGAGGUAUGCAGGGGAGAACGGAAUUCCUGGUGUAGCGGUGAAAUGCGCAGAUAUCUGGAGGAAUACCGGUGGCGAAGGCGGCAUCCUGGACCAUUACUGACGCUUAAGCGCGAAAGCUAGGGGAGCAAACGGG